GUAGGUGAACCUGCGGAAGGAUCAUUGCAAGGAUGGGGGGCCCUCACGAUCUCCCUCGUGAGGUGAACCCCCCGGAAAUCAAACCUGCCACGAGCGGCUGCGGGUGAGCUCACCCGUGGCUGCCGUCCGCGUGGAGAGGCCGGCGGCUGCUGUGCUGCCUGGUCGCUCCACGCACCACACUCUCUCGUGUUUUCCACGAUUUCCG
rnacentral:misc_RNA from 1 species